UACGUAGGUGGCAAGCGUUGUUCGGAAUUAUUGGGCGUAAAGGGCGCGUAGGCGCCUGUUAAGUCGAACGUGAAAUCCCCCGGGCUCAACCCGGGAACUGCGUCCGAUACUGGCAGGCUUGAAUCCGGGAGAGGGAUGCGGAAUUCCAGGUGUAGCGGUGAAAUGCGUAGAUAUCUGGAGGAACACCGGUGGCGAAGGCGCAUCCUGGACCGGGCAU
rnacentral:rRNA from 1 species